CAAAAAGUAGUAUACAACGAUUACAUUUCGUUUACACCGAAAAAAAGGUUUAUCACCCUUUUUGA
rnacentral:tRNA from 1 species